rnacentral:rRNA from 1 species
AUUGAACGCUGGCGGCAGGCCUAACACAUGCAAGUCGAACGGUAACAGGAAGAAGCUUGCUUCUUUGCUGACGAGUGGCGGACGGGUGAGUAAUGUCUGGGAAACUGCCUGAUGGAGGGGGAUAACUACUGGAAACGGUAGCUAAUACCGCAUAACGUCUCAAGACCAAAAAGGGGGACCUUCGGGCCUCUUGCCAUCGGAUGUGCCCAGAUGGGAUUAGCUAGUAGGUGGGGUAACGGCUCACCUAGGCGACGAUCCCUAGCUGGUCUGAGAGGAUGACCAGCCACACUGGAACUGAGACACGGUCCAGACUCCUACGGGAGGCAGCAGUGGGGAAUAUUGCACAAUGGGCGCAAGCCUGAUGCAGCCAUGCCGCGUGUAUGAAGAAGGCCUUCGGGUUGUAAAGUACUUUCAGCGGGGAGGAAGGGAGUAAAGUUAAUACCUUUGCUCAUUGACGUUACCCGCAGAAGAAGCACCGGCUAACUCCGUG